rnacentral:rRNA from 1 species
GACCUGCGGAAGGAUCAUUAAUGAGUUUGAAAUCGGGAGUCUGUUGCUGGUGCGGAAACGCAUAUUGUGCACGGCUUCUGUGCUCAAUCCAUUUCAACCCCUGUGCACCUCAUCGAAGUGAGUAGUCUCUUUGUGUUUGUUGGCUGUAUGCGGAAGGGGGACGAAUUACUAUGAGUAUGUUAGUAAGGCGAACACACCUUUCUUGGUGUUACUAGCUUGAAGGCGAAAGUAGUAUUAGUAGUUCUCUUGUACUCUUGGCCGGCAAGGGAAGAGGGUCGAAAGCUUUGACUUCUUUAAACACUAUGUAUGUCUUGUGGAAUGUAUUAGCUCCUUGUGGGCGAAAUAAAUACAACUUUCAACAACGGAUCUCUUGGCUCUCGCAUCGAUGAAGAACGCAGCGAAAUGCGAUAAGUAAUGUGAAUUGCAGAAUUCAGUGAAUCAUCGAAUCUUUGAACGCAUCUUGCGCCCUUUGGUAUUCCGAAGGGCAUGCCUGUUUGAGUGUCAUGUUAAUCUCAAACCCCUUGUCUUUGUUGACUCGGUUUGGUUUGGACUUGGAGGUGUUGCUGGCGCAAUAAGGUUCUUGCCUGUGUCGGCUCCUCUUAAAUGUAUUAGCUGGACUUUGGUUCGCAUUAAUGGUGUAAUAGUAAAGUGUUCGCCAGGUGCUUGUCUAAUGAGUCUGCUUCUAAUCGUCUUCGGACAAGGUCGACUGUGACCUUUUCUCUUGACCUUUGACCUCAAAUCAGGUAGGAUUACCCGCUGAACUUAAGCAUAUCAAUAAGCCGGAAGA